CGUACGACAACGAACAUGAUGGUGAUGAUACAGCAGGUGACACUAAUCUGAAAUAUCUAGGUUAACUAUCACCUAUACCCAUCAGCUGUCGCCUCAAGCCUGAUCACGUAAUAGCCAUCACUAUAUAUCAUAAAACUCGGCCAGGCCAACAUUUACGGUUGAUACAGCGGCUGAGGUUCAACAUGGGAGUGACUCUGUUCUUUUUCUUGAUGUUCAUUGUCGGAUGCGCGGGUAGACAUACAGAUCAGAAACGUUCAGAUGACGUGAUAAAGACAAAAUGUAUGGACAUGAGGUUCGGCUGGCAGACUUGUGAGGAAAUGAGGAAACUGUACGAGGGAGACGACGAGCGAUUCUGUUCUCACUAUACUUACCAUGGGGAGUGUUGUCUCACCUGUACAAAUAUCGUCUACUAAAGAUUUUGACAACUGUCAUCCUGGUUUACGAUGCUUCCCCGCGCAUAUUUUAAAAUAAAUUACAAAAAACAUUUUUUUUGUUUUUUUCAGACUUUAUAUUAACAACAUGUAUAAUACAUAAAUGUGUCAGAAACCUAAACAGGAUCUUAAAAUAAUAAUAAUUAUAAUCUUUAUUUAACGUCGUGUACAAUUGUCAACAACAAACACAAGCUCUGUAGAGCUCUUACUACGAUGGCUCUAAGGGAACAAAUGGUGUUUUCGUGGUGGAGGAAAACCCACGGGGGGAAACCACCGUGCCAUCGGAGGGAUAACAACUAACCCUAUCAGACAACACUCUCUCUUUUUCCGACACCGCUGUGGGGAUCGAACCUAAAUUCUUGAUAGCACACAGUAGUUCAAUGACUGUGCGCGUUAGCGAUCACGGCUACCGAGGCACUCGAACCAGCAAUGUGGUUACUCUUCAUCAAAAGACGUUCCUUUCACAAAUCGACAACUUGUAGACAGGAAAAAGCAUGCCUGGUCCCGACCUCUGUCAGAUUCCCGCCAGGACAAUAACAAGGGGAGACAACUCUUUAUCGGCGAAGAUGACACAGAACGAAGCUUCAAGAGAUGCAGGUUGAUGAAGUUUUAUAGUCGCUUACAUAAAUAUUCGUUGGUAUAUAUUAUAUUUCCUUGUGCGAUAUAUGUAUGGAGGUCGGUGUUUAGAUUAUAUUCAUAAGA